ensembl:lncRNA
CUCUCACGCUGUCCCUCGCUCUCACGCUGUCCCACGCUGUCUCACACGGUCUCUCCCUCCCUCUCUCUCCCUUUCUCACACUGUCCCUCUCUCUCACGCUGUCCCGCUCUCUCCCUCUCACGCUGUCCCUCUCUCUCACGCUGUCUCUCUCCAUUUCUCACGCUGUCCCUCUCUCUCACGCUGUCCUUCUCUCCCUCCCUCUCUCACGCUGUCCCUCUCUCUCCCUCGCUCACGCUGUCCCUCUCUCACGCUGUCCCUCGCUCUCACGCUGUCCCUCUCUCACGCUGUCCCUCGCUCUCACGCUGUCCCUCUCUCACGCUGUCCCUCGCUCUCACGCUGUCCCUCUCUCACGCUGUCCCUCGCUCUCACGCUGUCCCUCUCUCUCACGUUGUCCCUCUCUCUCACGUUGUCCCUCUCUCUCACUUUGUCCCUCUCUCUCACGCUGUCUCUCUUUCCCUCCCUCUCUCACGCUGUCUCUCUCUCUCACGCGUUCUCUCUCUCACGCUGUCUCUCCCUCCCUCCCUCUCUCUCCCUCUCUCACGCUGUCCCUCUCUCUCACGCUGUCUCUUUCUCCCUCCCUCUCUCUCCCUCUCUCUCACGCUGUCUCUCCCUCCCUCCCUCUCUCUCCCUCUCUCACGCUGUCCCUCUCUCUCACGCGUUCUCUCUCUCACGCUGUCUCUCCCUCCCUCCCUCUCUCUCCCUCUCUCACGCUGUCCCUCUCUCUCACGCUGUCUCUUUCUCCCUCCCUCUCUCUCCCUCUCUCUCACGCUGUCUCUCCCUCCCUCCCUCUCUCUCCCUCUCUCACGCUGUCCCUCUCUCUCACGCUGUCUCUCUCUCCCUCCCUCUCUCUCCCUUUCUCACGCUGUCCCUCUCUCACGCUGUCUCUCUCUCCCUCCCUCUCUCUCCCUUUCUCACGCUGUCUCUCUCUCCCUCUCUCACGCUGUCCCUCGCUCUCACGCUGUCCCUCUCUCUCCCUCUCUCACGCUGUCCCUCUCUCUCACGCGGUCUCUCCCUCUCUCUCACGCUGUCUCUCUCCCUCUCUCUCACGCUGUCCCUCCGUCCUUCACACUCUCUGGUUUGUCUUUCCUUCUCCAUGGUGAAUUUUAGUAAAUGUUAUUUAAUAAGUUACUUGUAAAUCCAGUUGUUGGUCUUUGUCGAAUCCCAAACAUAAUCUGUCUGAAAAUCUGUUCAAGUCAGUUCUAAUGUAAUAAUUGGUUAUUAAUGACCUCCAUAUCUGGGCGUAGCCUAGUGGUUAGAGCUUUGGACUAGUAACCGAAAGGUUGCAAGAUCGAAUCUCCGAGCUGACACAGUAUAAAUCUGUUGUUCUGCCCCUGAACAAGGCAGUUAUCCCACUGUUCCUAGGCCCUCAUUGAAAAUUAGUUUUUUUCUUAACUGACUUGCCUAGUUAAAUAAAGGUAAAAUAAAAUAUCCUGCCAUUGGGGUUGGAACUGGUCUGUGUUUCUCUCUUCCUGAAUUUUACUUCCCCCUCUCUGUCUGUGGCUCUGUCCUCCAACUCUCGCUCUCUCUGUCUCUCUCCCUCUCUGUCUCUCCCCCCCUUUAAGUCUUGGUAAAGAGCAGCCCUCUGCAUCUCUUCAUAACAGAGAUGAAUGAGAUGAUGAAUGAGAAGUGAGGUGUAAUGGCAGACUGGAACCAUGUAGAUAACCAAGACUGUAGAUGUCUCAUGUAAUCCAAUCUGUUAAAGCUAUGGAUGUUGUGUCACUAAACCACCACAGUCUGGUGCCCAGUCUAACAUCUCUACCUCAUGUAGAUCUGAGAGGAUUGGAUGGUUGUUCAACUCUACUGAAUCAUCCAUAAGGCGACUGUAGGUGGCGCUAUUCCCAUGUUUCUUAAACCCAUCAUGUCCUUUAACAGCAACACAAAAAGGGGGGUGAUUUUGGAACGGCCAACAUUCUACACCUUGGCCUAAAACAGGAAGCAGAAUGUUGGAUUUCCUGAGCCGUGUAAAAUGGAGCACUUGUUACCAUGAGUGUUAUUUAAGGUUGCAACUGCGAUUUGGUAUUUUAUUAUUCUAUGGUACAAGUUUCAGCGGUUCUGCUAAGACACUCGCUCCGAGGGGACUCGUUUCAGACUUUCUCUCACACACACACACACACACACACACACACACACACACACACACACACACACACACACAACACACACACAAAUGUCACCUGUUCGCAUGACUGUGUUUUUGAUUUCAGGAGGUUUGGGGUCAAUUCCACCUCUACUCCGUCAUUUCAGGAAGUGGUCAUGUCUUAGCAGUUUCCUCAAAUUAAAACCAAACUGUUGGAGGUAUCGUGGACGUGGGGUGUCCUCAAUGUUCUGCAGCUUAUUAUUUCUAAAAUAAUAAUUUGAAAAUUAUAAUUAUGCAAAAAAGUGUAAAUUCCUCGUCUUCCAAAAGACUUGGAUCCCUGGAGCGAGUUUAGGAACAACCCCCCUUGAAGUUUGGGAUCCAGUUUGCACAAACAAUGGUAACAUUACCCUACAGUUGUGGCAAACCAUGGCACAACGUUUUCUCAACGUUGCGUGAACUGAAUUGUUUGUUAGCUAUUGGUUCAGCGUUGCAGACCCAUGUCAGGCUUGUGAUAUGAAGUGUAAAUCUGUUUUUUAUUUUUUUAAGUUUAUUUUUUAUUUUUUUUGAAGAUCAGAUAGUGAUCUUUGUACCAUAACUAAGUCACGUUUGUAAUUGUAUAAUAUUUACUGUGAGAUGUAGGCCAUUGAAUAAUUAUUAAACAUUUC